GAUUCUCACCCUUAAAUGAGCACCAGAUUCCUAAUCUGGGGGUCGCGCGUUCGAAUCGCGCCGGGAUCACCA
rnacentral:tRNA from 1 species